CACUUCAGCAAGAGCUCUACUCAGCUGAAUGUGUAAAAAUAAUAUGUAGCGCUUUCUGUCAUCUAUGCUAGACUUAACGCUCCGGGUUUGUAAAGCUUACAAAUAGAUAAAGGUUACAAAUAGAUAACACAAGGGAUUCUAUAAUGCAUCAAACUCUGUCAAUCUACCAGCAUAUCAUUAUCUGACUAACUGAAAUGUCUACUUUUUCUAUUUAGUAGGUUACGAACUGGAUUAAAAAUUCGGCAAUAUAUAAAUACAGCAGGUCAAUAAAUGUAUAAUUUACAUGCCUUUUCCUCCUGUAUUUCAGACUUCUGCUUCUCUUCUUGCUGUUGAAGUAAAGCAGAAGAGCGAAGCAGACCUGUAAGAUUAAGAGCUCUCGUUUCCUCUCACAGAGCAGUCUGACUGCCUACUAGGUCUCAUGGUCUCUUUCUGUUGACUGACCAGCAGGGAAUGAAUGUAAGCUCAAGAAUUCAGUUAUAUUAAGAUAUAUGGCAUGUAGUAGAGAAGCAGAUAGUUGUGACAGUAUGGGAUUGGCUGAAUGUAAAAUAGAAAUGCAUAUAUAUAUUCUCUGAAGAUACAUAAAUAAUGAUAGCAUUUUGCAUUACUAUUUUCUUAAAAUAUAAGGAUAAAAAAUUUCUUGGUCACUACUCAUGCCAACCCAGUUGUUUACUUCCUUCCUCUGUUAAAGCUAUGGCCCACCUCCAGAUUUUAAUGUCCCAAAAAAGGAAAGAAAUGUUACUCAGCUACAGUCCCAUUUGUGAAACAGUGAUUACGCUGUAAUUAGUUUUUUUUUAUUGGGUUUUAUUUGUACUGUCAUAUAACCCAGAGGAUUUUCAUGUACGGGAAGAUUUUCUGUGAUGCAGAGAGAGAGAUACAGGUUUUGAACUUUGGGUUUCUUGAGAAAUUUUAUUUAGUUUUACUAUGACCAUUUUUCCAUUAAGCUGCAGUCACACUGUUUCCCAUCAUGCCAUGUCUCCUCAUUUAACCAGUGUUAAAUUUAAAUAAAUAAAGUGUUAAAUGAGGGGAAGGUUGACUAUGUUUGAAGUACGUGUGUUGCCUUUGGUGCCCUCUCUUUCUGAAUGGUGCAUGUACAGUACAUGUGUAUUUGGAUCAAGGGUGUGCUCUUCUGCAUUUUUACAAAUAUCCAACUAUAUGAAUGAGAAAUAAAUAAAAUAAUUAAUAGCUGAAUCAAGCAGAAAGUAGAGCCAGACAUUCGUAUGGGCUUCAUACAUCCUGAAUCCCAAGGCAAGUAAAGCACAGCAUGACAUUAUGUCAUUUUCUUAUUGCAGUGAUAUUUGGUUUGUAGGGUUGCCGUUUCUGUAGAAGCAGUGCACAUGUACAGAAUACAUACCUUUGAGAGCUGAUCAAUGCUAUUUGGUAUUCCAAAAGAAUCUUUGGCAACCUGGCUUAUGAGGUGAUCAAACUGUGGAUGGUUUAUUAUGUAGAUGUGUGGGAACAUUAUUAUCCAACGGUAUCAUGUAUUCCUAUACCAUCAAAAUAAAAAAGAAGAUACAUUAUAAUUUGACAGAAUAUGGUAAAAUUUUCAAUUCAUUGGGAAAGUAGAAGAAAGUAUUUUGUUGUCAUUUAAAGCUUAAACAUAAAAUUGACAAAAUUUGUGAAGGUCAGAGCUUUAUACAAUCUAUAUCAGGAAAGCUCACACAUCACUGACCGCUGCAUCUGUAGUUAGAAUUAACAUAAUAAUCUGGAUCUUUGUGCCCUUGUUGGCCUUUGUUGUAGAGAUGAUAGAGGGCAUCUAUCUGAAUGGAUGUGAAGUGGCUGAGCAGCUCACAUCCCACAAUGGGCCUAAGAUUCACAUUUACUUUUGUCAUAUAUUGAUCUGGUUAGCCAGAAUUGUCACAGUGAAUGAAUUGUAGGAGUAUUUAUGGCCAGCUAUUGAAGAGAGAAGGCAUCAGUUAUAGCUGAGGCAAUAUUUAUGCAUUAGGGGAGCCACUUAGGGUGUGUAUGAAAGGGUUACAUUUGAGUAGAGGAAACAAAUGGUUUGAUUGUUAACAAAGCUGAACAAUAGUUGUCACAAGUCAUAUGCAUAGCUGCUUUUUUCUUUUGCUGUUAUUUAAGUAAAUUAACAGAUGCCCCUCCCUAUUCCUUUUCUCAUUUCUCUCACUUACAUAUCAUCUAUGCCCUGUAGAUGGAAGCAAAGUCCCAUGGACAGAGAGAGAAAUUUGGGUUGAUGUAAGUUUUUCCACACGAUGAGUGGCACACUCGAAGCUUCUCUGCUGGCAGACAGGUCCUUUAAACUCUCUUCAAUCAAGUUUCCAUAAAGGCAGAAAGUGACCCAGUUCUCCUUACGAUGGGGGGGGGCGUCGCAUGAGCAUCAUUCUGAAGUGACAGAUAUCGCAGUUUCAGAUCCAAUCGACCACAAGCCUGACAGGGAGAGCAGGAGUAGAGGAGAAAAUAGCCUUGGAGAGAAGGAAAAUGAGAAGGAGGGCACUGGUACUGAGAGGCUACAGAUUUGAUUAGCAAAUGCAGUUUACCAGAAACCCUGAGGUCUUGAAAACACAAAUGAAAUAAAAGCAGAUGGUUGACUCAGGCUUUCUGUGCAACUUUUCCCCUCCUGGACUCCUUGAUCAAACUGUGAACUUGGAGUUUAAUGCCUUAGGUGCAUGCGAGUCCGGCUCUUUCUUGUUCUCUCCAUUGCUUCAUCUCCCUCUCUAAUUAAUGCUUAGCUAUGUGAACCCAGGAUUAGAUCAGGCCAGGGAAAUCAAUGCCUGGCAGCACACAAAAGAAGAUGAGGGGAGCCAUAGGCAUGCUGUCACGUUUUAAUCAGGGUGGGUAUGGACAGGAGAGGGGUGAUAGUUACUCUAAGUGUGUCACGUCAAUGCUUAUUUGUGUCCACACAUGUAAGCGGGCUUUUAGGGACGUUGUCUGUGGGAGAGUUUGGACCCUGAAGUUCCCACUAAUCCAGCUGAUCCCUGAAAGUCUUGGAGGCGCUCAUGGCUGUGGUGGCUAAGCAGGAGUGUGACCUCAGCACCAGUAGUCGUGGGAAUGGAAGCUGGGUGUGUCUGGACUGCUGCCUCCUGCACACCUGCAGGAGAUUCCCUCAUUUGGCAGAGCCACUAAAAGCUACAGAAUGUCUUCUCUUCGACUGAUUAUACCUGGUGACUGAUCACUUAGAGGUUCCACCUCCAUCUGCCCUCAGAGAAUCUCCUUGCACUAUCUGUCACGAACGCUGACUGCAGUUUCUCGCUCUCUGUCACGGCUUGCCCGCCCGCUCCCCAACUCUCCACGCCCACCUGCUAAAUGCUUCCAGCUUCUGGCUCAUAUAACCUGGAUCCCUUCAGCAGACUCACCUUCAGGAUCUACAGAGUCCUCCAAACAAUCCCCUCUGACAAAGUCAGCUCCAUCCCCCCUACCUUCAUUACCAUCCACCUGUGUGACUGGAUCUAACUUCAUCUCACUCUUAAAGUUUCCAAGACUUCAAUUCAUUACCCAAUCAAGUUAGGACAAAGUCAGGCUAGAUAUACCAGCAGCUACUUCCAUAAAGUGACUUCUAUGACCUUAGCAUUAACUAAGAGAAAGCAUCAUUUUUUUAAAUCUGUCUGGAAACCCAGAUAGGUUUACUGAGAGUUGACAACCAGAUGUGGACCACUCUGAUGAGUUUUGCUUCUGAUCUGGCAGUUUCCUGGUUAUUGUUGGUAAAACUAACAGACCCCAAACCCCAAAUUACACUCCACAAAAGUUAUGAACCUAUUAAAGUCAAUAAGAUCAUCGACACUGCCUCCACAUUGCUGUGCUGCAUCUCCGCACCACCAUCUGGCAAAAUUAGUACCGAGUCUAUUUUUGCUGGAUGCCAAAACAAGUGCAGAGUCAAUAUAAAACAAUCACACCGCACUUACAGGAAAAUGAAUUAGCAUUUUUAAAUGAUUCCCAAAGACUGAUGACAUCUUCUCAAAAUCUUAGUUAUAUUAGUAAAUAUGGGGAUAUAUUUAAAACAGUCACAUGCAGAGUUUGCAACCUUUAAGUUCUCUCGUUUUUGUCACAGUAAUUAGUCAAACCAAUACAGAUAUUUACAUAGCUUUGCUAAUAAAUGUCCACAUUUGUUAGCAAGGCUGAAGACCUUGGUCACAUAAUGGAUAAGGUAUUUUAAAUGUAAUGGAAAAAGUCUUUUAAAAGACAUUAAAUGCCUUUUAAAUGCCAUUUGGAGACAAAUGACAGAGGAAGUUAAGGCAUAAAGAUAAGUAUUGAAAAGAGGGAGUAAGACAAGAAGAGUGGGGGGUAAAGGGGAGUUAAGCUGACAAUAACAACAAAAAAAAAUCUAAUAUUGGAGAGAAGCACCAGCGGAGCAUGAGAUGAGAUGAAGAGUGUGAAAACUUGGCUGAGAAGUGAGAUAGACUGUUUAGAGAACUAAAGAAAUAACUGAACAUGAAGUAAAGCUGUGUGAUAUGGUCAGCAAAUUUACAGAUCAAAACAUACAUGAUGACUGACUCACAAAACUCAUCUUAAAGUGACAGACAUGUUCUCUGGGAAUAAAUCUGUCUUCACAUUUCCUUGAGCUAUUUAAUAAAGACGUGUUGCUAUGAGAGGGGCCUCUGGUAAGAAAGUGAAGGAUUACACUUUUCAAAUAAAAUGAAUGUUCGUAAAGCAUCA